rnacentral:rRNA from 1 species
AUGAACGCUAGCGGCAGGCCUAAUACAUGCAAGUCGAACGGGUGUAGCAAUACACUAGUGGCGCACGGGUGCGUAACGCGUAACCAACCUACCCGAAACUGGGGGAUAGCCCGCCGAAAGGCGGAUUAAUACCGCAUAACACUGUUUGCCGGCAUCGGUGGGCAGUUAAAGAUUAAUUGGUUUCGGAUGGGGUUGCGUAGCAUUAGCUAGAUGGCGGGGUAACGGCCCACCAUGGCGACGAUGCUUAGGGGACCUGAGAGGGUGAUCCCCCACACUGGCACUGAGAUACGGGCCAGACUCCUACGGGAGGCAGCAGUAGGGAAUAUUGGGCAAUGGGCGAGAGCCUGACCCAGCCAUGCCGCGUGCCGGAUGAAGGCCUUCUGGGUUGUAAACGGCUUUUCUCAGGGAAGAAAAAGAGGAUGCGUCCUAAACUGACGGUACCUGAGGAAUAAGCACCGGCUAACUCCGU